CAAGGUGGGAAAGGCCUUCAAGUACUUGGAUGCCGUCCUGUCCCUUAUCGAGUGUGGGAUGGCUAUGGAGUCGGAGGGCCCGCCGGCCAAGGCUGCGUACUCUGUGUACUCAGAAGCCGUGGACCUUGUUAAGUUCACCAUGUCGCUGAGAUGCUCUGACGGCGCAACACAAGAGAAAAUAUUUGCAGUUUUAUGCCUGAGGUGCCAGUCCCUCCUGAACAUGGCAAUGUUUCGCUGUAAGAAAGACACAGCAAUAAAGUAUUCCCGCACCCUGAACGAACACUUCAA